CAGAAGAAGAGUGGCAGAACGGCGCAGAAGAGACAGGCCACGGUGUGGAGUAGUGCCACGUGACAUAUGGCUGAGGCGGGGGUUGUGGAGAAUGAGGCGGAGUCUUGUUCUGCUUGAUUUCGAGGAGAGUUAACUCCGCCCACUCGCUCAUGCUCUGCUGUGAUUUGGUGUAGGGGACGUCAGGCGCAGCGCCUUUCUUUCCUGGUUUCGUCAUUACUGCUGCUGUUAGAAGGAGGCUUUGGCAAAGCAAGUAUGAUUAUUGGCGCUCCAGACUUGUGGCACCAGGAAAAUAUAUUUAUACUGAUCAGGACGCAGAAGGAGCAUUUAUUUCGGAAGGGAAGUUAAUUUUGCUGCAUAUGUUCCGAUUUCUUUAAAAAAAAACAAAACACGUUGUAUUUCACAUUAGUGCUCCCAUCCCAAACAUGGACAAAAGUGAAUCCAUGGGGAUUUGCGCGCUUUAAGGUCCGUCCAGGCAGUGGCGGGGGAUGGCUACUUGGGCGGGCUAUUAGCUCCCUUCGCCCCUCUCUGGCCUUGGCUAUGUCUCUUAUUCGGCAUGUAAUUAUAACAAGAAGGCAGCAAUCCUAUCUUCACAUGACUCCUUGGGAUUAAGGCUGCAUCACAACUCGCUGCACAUGUAAGUCCCAUUGUCAAGGAAACGAGAUCGGGCUGCAAGUCCCAAUGCCAUCAGCAACAUUUAUCUUUAAUAUAAGGAGAAGUAACACAGACAUUAUAUCCAGGAAGAAUAUUAACUAGUUCUAUCCUUGGGGAACAGUGCCAACCACCUUGGAACCUUACCUUGCUCCUCUGUAAUGCCGGGUCAGUCCAGAACAAAUCAAAAACCAUCCAUGAUCUGAUUCUGGAUGAAGGCACCAACCUGCUCAGAGUGACAUGCUUCUUGCCGACAUUGUGCUUUCACAAUCAGAUCUGAACAAGCACUCGCAUCAAAUCUGUCUACAAGGCCAAGCAUACAUCAACGUGUUUAUACUGUUAUCACAGUACAACAAGCAACAGUACAGUACAAGCAACAAUCCCAGUACAGCAAGUAACCAGCUCCCAACCCUUCUUUGCUUGGGCAAUAGUCAGAUGCAUAUAUGGCUGCUUCACAUCUAUACAAUAAACAACUAGUACAGACAAGGCCAUAUCUACAGUGGACACUUGUCUUCUAACCUUACAUGUACUGUAUUUCAAUGCAGACAGUCAGUUGUGUAUACAAAGGAGCUUAUCUCUGUGUUUUCCCAGAUGUGGGAGUAUACAAAAUGGACAGUAUAUAGUAUAUUGCUACAUUUGAAUAUUAAAAUGAUCAAAUGUCAUCUUAAUACUACAUGCAGAGAUUCCAUUAGAAUAAUUUUAUGUUUAUACUAGGCUGAAUCUUGAUUUGCUUUGUUUAUAGACAAAAACAUCUGGUCUUGGUUAGGUUUCUAGACAACAUUAGCAAGGCAUUCUUCAAACUGCAUAAAAACAAAAAGAUGCAACCUUUUUAAAAAGCCAGUUGCGCCUUACCAAAAGACAUUUGGGAAGCCUGUUUUGAGAGGUAGAUUCAUAACUUAACCCCUGUCCUUAAAAAUAUCAACAUUUCUGUACAUUGUCUUCUAGCUCACAGUGUGAACUUUGUGUAUCUAAUUGAUCUAGAAAAGACUAGUGGACACAAUAUACGUCAAUGCAGCCUAAGGCUGCUAACUUACCAGAAUCAGCCUGGAAUCCCAAAAGUCAGCAUAGAUCUCCAGUUAACUAUUGAAAGCAAUUCUGGAGGUGUUAAUAGCUUGAUACUGUGAAAAAAACGGUGGGGAGUGGAGUGGGGGAGAAGGGGGGUAUCAAGGAAUAACUUUAGUCAGAGUUAGCAACUCUUUUGCAAACUCCUGAUUUUACAGUGGGUAUGUGCUUGCUAGUGUCCUGUUACAGGAAGUGGUGUGGAAAACAGGAAAGCAGUCCUAAAAUUCUAUAGAGCAUAUUUGCAAGUGUGCAAAAACACCUGGAUCAUUGCAAAGUAUUCUGGAAGGGAAAUUGUACAUUAGUGCACUAGCUCAUCAGACUGUACAAUAGAGACAUGAAUGUACGUUGUGUAGGCACAAUUUAUUGCCAUCGUUUGUAAUUUCGUUUUGGUGCCAUAAUGUUCUGAUUAAAACUGUGGCUUGCGGCUUCUGAUCAGAUAA